rnacentral:rRNA from 1 species
CCUACGGGCGGCUGCAGUGGGGAAUUUUGGACAAUGGGGGCAACCCUGAUCCAGCCAUGCCGCGUGCGGGAAGAAGGCCUUCGGGUUGUAAACCGCUUUUGUCAGGGAAGAAAUCUUCCGAGCUAAUACCUUGGGAGGAUGACGGUACCUGAAGAAUAAGCACCGGCUAACUACGUGCCAGCAGCCGCGGUAAUACGUAGGGUGCAAACGUUAAUCGGAAUUACUGGGCGUAAAGCGGGAAGAGGCGGUUGAAAUCCCCGAGCUUAACCUGGGAAGUGCACUUGUGACUGGACGACUGGAGUACGGCAGAGGGGGAUGGAAUUCCGCGUGUAGCAGUGAAAUGCGUAGAGAUGCGGAGGAACACCGAUGGCGAAGGCAGUCCCCUGGGCCUGUACUGACGCUCAUGCACGAAAGCGUGGGGAGCAAACAGGAUUAGAUACCCCGGUAGUC